UCCUAGUGAUUAGAGUUUGAUCAUGGCUCAGAACGUACGCUGGCGGCACGCCUAACACAUGCAAGUCGAACGAAGUAGCAAUACUUAGUGGCAGACGGGUGAGUAACAUGUAGGUAUCUGCCCUUUGGCCUGGAAUAACACGAGGAAACUUGUGCUAAUACCGGAUAAGUCUUUACGGAGAAAGCUUUAUGCACCAUUGGAUGAGCCUGCACUUGAUUAGUUUGUUGGUGGGGUAAUGGCCUACCAAGACUGUGAUCAAUAGCUGAUUUGAGAGGAUGAUCAGCCACAUUGGGACUGAGACACGGCCCAAACUCCUACGGGAGGCAGCAGUGGGGAAUCUUGCACAAUGGAGGAAACUCUGAUGCAGCGAUGCCGCGUGAGUGAAGAAGGCCUUUGGGUUGUAAAGCUCUUUCGUCGGGGAAGAAAAUGACUGUACCCGAAUAAGAAGGUCCGGCUAACUUCGUGCCAGCAGCCGCGGUAAUACGAAGGGACCUAGCGUAGUUCGGAAUUACUGGGCUUAAAGAGUUCGUAGGUGGUUGAAAAAGUUGGUGGUGAAAUCCCAGAGCUUAACUCUGGAACUGCCAUCAAAACUUUUCAGCUAGAGUAUGAUAGAGGAAAGCAGAAUUUCUAGUGUAGAGGUGAAAUUCGUAGAUAUUAGAAAGAAUACCAAUUGCGAAGGCAGCUUUCUGGAUCAUUACUGACACUGAGGAACGAAAGCAUGGGUAGCGAAGAGGAUUAGAUACCCUCGUAGUCCAUGCCGUAAACGAUGUGUGUUAGACGUUGGAAAUUUAUUUUCAGUGUCGCAGCGAAAGCGAUAAACACACCGCCUGGGGAGUACGACCGCAAGGUUAAAACUCAAAUGAAUUGACGGGGACCCGCACAAGUAGUGGAGCAUGUGGUUUAAUUCGAAGAUACGCGCAGAACCUUACCAACACUUGACAUGUUCGUCGCGACUCUAAGAGACUAGAGUUUUCGGUUCGGCCGGACGAAACACAGGUGCUGCAUGGCUGUCGUCAGCUCGUGUCGUGAGAUGUUGGGUUAAGUCCCGCAGCGAGCGCAACCCUCACUUUUAGUUGCCAUCAUUUAGUUGGGCACUCUGAAAGAACUGCCAGUGAUAAGCUGGAGGAAGGUGGGGAUGACGUCAAGUCCUCAUGGCCCUUACGUGUUGGGCUACACACGUGCUACAAUGGUAUCUACAACAGGAAGCAAGACUGCGAGGUCAAGCAAAUCCUUAAAAGAUACCUCAGUUCGGAUUGCACUCUGCAACUCGAGUGCAUGAAGCUGGAAUUACUAGUAAUCGUGGAUCAGCGUGCCACGGUGAAUGCGUUCCCGGGUCUUGUAGACACCGCCC
rnacentral:rRNA from 1 species